rnacentral:rRNA from 1 species
GGAGGUAGUGACAAUAAAUCACAAUGCGGAACAAUGUUUUGCAAUUGGAUUGAGAACAACGUACAAACCUUAUCGAUAAACAAUUGGAGGGCAAGUCUGGUGCCAGCAGCCGCGGUAAUUCCAGCUCCAAUAGCGUAUAUUAACGUUGUUGCAGUUAAAAAGCUCGUAGUUGAAAUGAAGGGUAGUUGUGUAAUGAAUACAUUCGUGUAUUUUGUUAUUCAAGUACCCUCCUUCUAAAUUCGAUAUAUGAGUAUUAAUUUACUUGUAUAUGGUUUUAGACRUUUACUGUGAGAAAAUUAGAGUGUUCAAAGCAGGCAUUUGCUUGAAUAUAUUAGCAUGGAAUAAUCAUGUAUGAUUUUCAUGAUGUAUUUGAUUGGUUUGGUUGAUGAGAAUAAGAUUAAAAGGGACAGUUGGGGGUAUUCAUAUUCAAUAGUCAGAGGUGAAAUUCUCGGAUUUAUGGAAGAUGAACAAGUGCGAAAGCAUUUACCAAGGAUGUUUUCAUUAAUCAAGAACGAAAGUUAG